rnacentral:rRNA from 1 species
UGGGGAAUAUUGCACAAUGGGCGCAAGCCUGAUGCAGCGACGCCGCGUGAGGGAUGACGGCCUUCGGGUUGUAAACCUCUUUCAGCACAGACGAAGCGCAAGUGACGGUAUGUGCAGCAGAAGGACCGGCCAACUACGUACCAGCAGCCGCGGUAAUACGUAGGGGGCAAGCGUUGUCCGGAUUUAUUGGGCGUAAAGCGCCCGCAGGCGGUCGCGUCAGUUUGGGGUGACAGCUCCUGGCUUAACCGGGAGAGGACCUCGAAGACGGCGCGACUUGAGGGCCAGAGAGGGACAUGGAACUCCGGGUGGAGUGGUGAAAUGCGUAGAGAUCCGGAAGAACACCAAAGGCGAAGGCAGUGUCCUGGCUGGCCCCUGACGCUGAGGGGCGAAAGCGAGGGGAGCGAAC